rnacentral:tRNA from 1 species
CCAUAGCUCAGCUGGAUAGAGCAUCAGACUUCGAAUCUGAGUGUCAUGAGUUCAAAUCUUAUUGGG